rnacentral:rRNA from 1 species
GACGAACGCUGGCGGCGUGCUUAACACAUGCAAGUCGAACGGAAAGGCCUGCUUUCCCUUGUGGAUUGCGGGUACUCGAGUGGCGAACGGGUGAGUAACACGUGAGUGAUCUGCCCCCAAAUUGGGUAUAAGCCGGGGAAACUGGGUCUAAUUCCCGAUAGGACUGCAGGGUGGGGCCGGUGGUGGAAAACGAUUUUCUAGUGGUUGGGGAUGAGCUCGCGGCCUAUCAGCUUGUUGGUGGGGUAAUGGCCUACCAAGGCGGCGACGGGUAGGCGGCCUGGGAGGGUGGACGGGCACAUUGGGACGGCGAUACGGCCCCGACGCCUACGCGCGGAAGCAGUGGGGAAGAUGGCGCGAGGGGCGGAAGCCUGUGGCCGGGACGCCGAGUGGGGGAUGACGGCCUUCGGGUUGUAAACUCCUUUCGACCGCGAGGAAGCCACCUGGUUGGAAGGGUGGUGACGGUAGUGGUAGAAGAAGCACCGGCUAACUACGUG